AGCGGCGGACGGGUGAGUAAUGCUUAGGAAUCUGCCAUUUAGUGGGGGACAACAUUCCGAAAGGGAUGCUAAUACCGCAUACGUCCUACGGGAGAAAGCAGGGGAUCUUCGGACCUUGCGCUAAAUGAUGAGCCUAAGUCGGAUUAGCUAGUUGGUGGGGUAAAGGCCUACCAAGGCGACGAUCUGUAGCGGGUCUGAGAGGAUGAUCCGCCACACUGGGACUGAGACACGGCCCAGACUCCUACGGGAGGCAGCAGUGGGGAAUAUUGGACAAUGGGCGGAAGCCUGAUCCAGCCAUGCCGCGUGUGUGAAGAAGGCCUUUUGGUUGUAAAGCACUUUAAGCGAGGAGGAGGCUACCUGGAUUAAUACUCUGGGAUAGUGGACGUUACUCGCAGAAUAAGCACCGGCUAACUCUGUGCCAGCAGCCGCGGUAAUACAGAGGGUGCGAGCGUUAAUCGGAUUUACUGGGCGUAAAGCGUGCGUAGGCGGCUUUUUAAGUCGGAUGUGAAAUCCCCGAGCUUAACUUGGGAAUUGCAUUCGAUACUGGGAAGCUAGAGUAUGGGAGAGGAUGGUAGAAUUCCAGGUGUAGCGGUGAAAUGCGUAGAGAUCUGGAGGAAUACCGAUGGCGAAGGCAGCCAUCUGGCCUAAUACUGACGCUGAGGUACGAAAGCAUGGGGAGCAAACAGGAUUAGAUACCCUGGUAGUCCAUGCCGUAAACGAUGUCUACUAGC
rnacentral:rRNA from 1 species